GACGAACUGUCCUAACGUUGUUCGGAAUCACUGGGCUUAAAGGGCGCGUAGGCGGUCCGACAAGUCGAACGUGAAAUCCCCGGGCUCAACCCGGGAACUGCGUCCGAUACUGGCAGGCUUGAAUCCGGGAGAGGGAUGCGGAAUUCCAGGUGUAGCGGUGAAAUGCGUAGAUAUCUGGAGGAACACCGGUGGCGAAGGCGGCAUCCUGGACCGGUAUUGACGCUGAGGCGCGAAAGCCAGGGGAGCAAACGGG
rnacentral:rRNA from 1 species